CCUGCCUCAGCUUCCGGAGCAGCUGGGACUGCUGGCGCCCGCCACUACGCUCGGCUAAUUUUUUUGUGUUUUUAGUAGAGACGGGCUUUCACCGUGUUGGCCUAGCGGUUCUCCAACUCCUGACCUCAUGAUCCCCCCGCCUCAGCCUCCCAAAGUGCUGGGAUUACAAGCGUGAGCCACCGCGACCCGCCAACACUCUUGACAACAGUGCUGUGCUAAGAACUUGGGGGACUUCAAAAAGUUCACCAGUUCCUGUGUCCAUGGGUGAAAAGAUUUUCUACAUCUUUCCUUGACUAGAAACAGAAGUCCUGAAACAAGGUACACCUUCUUGAGGCUUACUUGAAUAUAACGUCAGGAGGCCAGAGGCUUUGUCCUGCCUAAUGUGUUAUUUCCACACUGAAUAAAAGCACCUGAGUCCUGGUAAGUCUAAUUUGCUAGGUGUGGCAAUAUGACCAGUGAAAAACAACAAGGGCAGCAUUUCCUGCAGUUCGGUGGCACAGUAUGGUUCAAAGAGGUAUAAAAGGAAGUCACAGGCAUUUUAAAAAGGUUGUACAUCUAGCAAUACCUAACAAAAUAGGAAAUCAACUUGGGCUACCUUAAUGAGCAGCCAGGAUGCCAUCAUCUCCGACCUGAAUGACAAUAACCUCCAAACCAGCCUUUGUAUACUCCUUCCUGCUGCUCUGCAGUCCACUUCCACAGACCAGCCAACUGAAUCUCCUUAUAGAUUCAUAAUGGCCAUCAGCACAAAGAUGUUUUAUCUGCAGUCAACCAGUCAUGUUUCAUGAUGGCAUCAAAAUGUGUGCUGGAGUUUGCUGGGGGUCCACUCUAGAUCCUGUUUGCCUGAGUAUCACCAGCGGACACUGUAGAACAGCAAAGAUUGCUGCCUGCUCCUUCCUCUGGAAGCUUCGUCCCAGAGGGGCACCUGCAAGAUGCCAACCAGAGCUCUCCUGUAUGAGUUGUCUGUUGACCCCUGCUGGGAGGUGUCUCCCUUUCAGGAGGCUCAGGGGUCAGGGACCCACUUGAGGAGGCAGUCUGUCCCUUAGCAGAGCUUAAAUGUUGUGCUGGAAGAUCUGCUUCUGUCUUCAGAGCCAGCAGGCAGGAAUAUUUAAGUCCACUGAAGCUGUGCCCACAGCAGCCCCUUCCCCCAGGUCCCAGGGAGAUGAUGGGAGUUUUAUCUAUAACCUCCUAACUGGGACUGCUGCCUUUCUUUCAGAGAUGCCCUACCCAGAGAGGAGGAAUCUAGAGAGAGUCUGCCUAAUUUGGCUUUGCUGCGCUGCAAUGGGCUCCCUCCAGUCCAAAGUUCCUGGAGGCUUUGUUUACAUUGUGAGGGAAAAACCGCUUACUCAAGCCUCAGUAAUGGCAGACGCCCCUCCCCCCAUCAAGCUCCAAUGUCCCAGGUCAACUUCAGACUGUUGUGCUGGCAGCGAGAAUUUCAAGUCAGUGGAUCUUAGCUUGCUUGGCUCUGUGGGGUUGGAAUCUGCUUAACAAGACCACUUGGCUACCUGGCUUCAGCCCCCUUUCCAGGGGAGUGAGUGGUUCUGUCUCACUUGCGUUCCAGGCACCACACAAUUGGAAAUGUAGAAAUUACCUGCCUUCUGCGUUGGUCUCCCUGGGCGCUGCAGACUGGGGCUGUUCCUCUUCAGCCAUCUUGCAGGGAAUCACAAUAAAGAAUUUUUAAAAGGAAGAGAAAAGCAAUCAUCACUAUUUUGGUUUUGUUUUGUUUUAGGAGUAACUGACUACUGAACAGUACUGCAUGUUUCUGAGGUUCCUCUGUUAUUCCUGUAGUUCACUACCUCUGCAUCCUCCCCAGGACAAGAAAUUCAUUUUCCUUAUUGUACUGUGUUAUGCCAAGAAUAUUACUAUUGUUCGGUGAAUAUAAAAUAAUCAUUAUAGCAACAAUUUUUUUGGCGUCCUAAAUAAGGCUGAUCCAUGGCAACGGUACUAUGCAAAGAAAAGAAUAAAGUCAAAACACUUGUAAAACCUUUUACUUAUUGGUAUCAGACAUCUGUUAUUUUAUUAAUCCUCACAAUGUCUUUUAAAGGUUUUGUUAUUUGUAUCUACAAUCCGGGGAGAAGAAACUGAAGUACAGAGGGGCAAAACGAUUGUUACCUAGUUGAAUGACAAAUUAGAUGAGAAUCCAAUAUCCACAAGGUGUUAGGCCCUGGAAACAUUAAUCUCAUGUAUUAUUAGCUAUUCUCACAUACAUAUAAG
rnacentral:lncRNA from 10 species